rnacentral:lncRNA from 1 species
GAGAGCUACCACUAUUUACAGAUUCUAAUGUUUCCAGAAACUGAACAGAAUAUAUAAAACAGAAAAAGAUAAAGCUAACAAGAUCCUAAUAUACUAAAAUGAAAAAGGAAGAAACAGAUCCUAAGAUGCAAAUAUGCACAUGAAACAAAAAUAGAAUCAAGAAAACAAACCUAAGCAAGACUAACCUAACACUCUAAGACUUAACUUGCCGAGUCCCCGGCAACGACGCCAUUUGUUAAACUGAUUUUUGUCGCAUCAAAUCAGAACAAACUAAGUUUCCCCAUUAAUGUAGUAAAGGAACAACCUAGGUAUCAAUCCAAGGACUCGCUUGUUAAGUUUAAAGUGUAUGAUUAUAAUCUUGUAAUUAUUUACUUACUAAUUACUAACUAAUUAANACAACCUAGGUAUCAAUCCAAGGACUCGCUUGUUAAGUUUAAAGUGUAUGAUUAUAAUCUUGUAAUUAUUUACUUACUAAUUACUAACUAAUUAACAAACAAGGUGGGGAAAAGAAAUAAAAANGAAGAAAUUAAAAAGAANAGAAUAAAAAAAAAAUCAAAUCUGUUUUAAAAGAAAAGAAGAAAAUAAAAUGUAAAACAAAAAGUAAAGAACAAAGGCCUAAGCUAAAUUGCAAAAUAAUAACUGCAAGAGCAAAUACAAAUAUAAAAGAAAGACUACAAUGCCCUAAAAUCAAUCCUAACAGCUACUGGAUAUGUAAAACAUCUUAACCUUUAUUAACUAGAAAUACCAAAAAUAAAGGAACAAAUCAAGAAACACUAGUUAUAACAAAAACUAAAAUCAAAGGUAAAAGCACAACCUAAACUACUAAAAUGCCCGAUCAUAAAAUGCCCACCUCGGGGUCUCAAGUUCUAAUAUAGAACUUAAAAUGAAUAACAAUCAAUCAAUGCCCACCUCGGGGUGGGCAUUCAUU